rnacentral:rRNA from 1 species
UGGGGAAUUUUGGACAAUGGGCGAAAGCCUGAUCCAGCAAUGCCGCGUGUGUGAAGAAGGCCUUCGGGUUGUAAAGCACUUUUGUCCGGAAAGAAAUCCUUGGCUCUAAUACAGUCGGGGGAUGACGGUACCGGAAGAAUAAGCACCGGCUAACUACGUGCCAGCAGCCGCGGUAAUACGUAGGGUGCAAGCGUUAAUCGGAAUUACUGGGCGUAAAGCGUGCGCAGGCGGUUUGCUAAGACCGAUGUGAAAUCCCCGGGCUCAACCUGGGAACUGCAUUGGUGACUGGCAGGCUAGAGUAUGGCAGAGGGGGGUAGAAUUCCACGUGUAGCAGUGAAAUGCGUAGAGAUGUGGAGGAAUACCGAUGGCGAAGGCAGCCCCCCUGGGCCAAUACUGACGCUCAUGCACGAAAGCGUGGGGAGCAAACAGGAUUAGAUACCCUGGUAGUCCACGCCCUAAACGAUGUCAACUAGUUGUUGGGGAUUCAUUUCCUUAGUAACGUAGCUAACGCGUGAAGUUGACCGCCUGGGGAGUACGGUCGCAAGAUUAAAACUUAAAUGAAUUGACGGGGUCAUAGCUG